UUGAAUAAACCUGAUGUGGCUGUUAGCUGGCUUUUCGAAGCAUGUGCUCGUCCGUCAUCUUUAUCUCUCCACCUGUGCACAUUUUGUAGUCUUGAAUAUUGCUUCCAAGACUAUGUUUUUAUAUAUACACCAAAGUAUGUUUAAAGAAUGUCAUCAAUAGAAACUUGUUUUCUAUAAAAAAUAUA
rnacentral:misc_RNA from 1 species